UGGGGUGUAGCUCAAUGGUAGAGCACUCGACUGUGGGAGAUAAAGGAAACUUACCAGUUCAAUUCUGGUUUCUCCAAGAGUAAUCGAGUGGUUGUAGGUUCGAGUCCUACCUCCCCAG
rnacentral:tRNA from 1 species